GACGAACGCUGGCGGCGUGCCUAAUACAUGCAAGUAGAACGCUGAAGGAGGAGCUUGCUCUUCUGGAUGAGUUGCGAACGGGUGAGUAACGCGUAGGUAACCUGCCUGGUAGCGGGGGAUAACUAUUGGAAACGAUAGCUAAUACCGCAUAACAGUAGAUGUUGCAUGACAUUUACUUAAAAGGUGCAAUUGCAUCACUACCAGAUGGACCUGCGUUGUAUUAGCUAGUUGGUGGGGUAACGGCUCACCAAGGCGACGAUACAUAGCCGACCUGAGAGGGUGAUCGGCCCCACUUGGACUGAGACACGGCCCAGACUCCUACGGGAGGCAGCAGUAGGGAAUCUUCGGCAAUGGACGGAAGUCUGACCGAGCAACGCCGCGUGAGUGAAGAAGGUUUUCGGAUCGUAAAGCUCUGUUGUAAGAGAAGAACGAGUGUGAGAGUGGAAAGUUCACACUGUGACGGUAUCUUACCAGAAAGGGACGGCUAACUACGUG
rnacentral:rRNA from 1 species